CCCAACUCAAACCAAAAAUCCAUGGGACCACUGCCACCUCCAGCUCUACUUCCACAACCGCUUGCAACCACCCAGCGCAGUCAAACAAAAUAAAUACUACAAUUAAACUCAUAACUUUCGGGUAUCAGUAACAAUCCUGUGGCCCAGAACUAUGAAGCUAAUUGACUAGAGCAGAUCGUGUUCAACUAACGACGUCAGCUGUUUCAAUUAUUUCCUAAUAGCUUUUGACUUCAUCAAUCUUCUUUUUCCUUCAAUUCGCUGAUGCCAAGGCGAUAGCCGUCACCAUAAUGCUGUCGUUCACCACCGUUUACCGACACACCCUUUCCUGUUCUUCUUUUAGUUCUUUCCGAUCCUCUUCUUUGCUUUUCCUUCCGUCAGACACUCACCAACCGCUUCCAAUUUUCGCUGUUGAAAACCUAAUUCUCGCAUUUUUGCUUCAAUGAGCAUCGAGGCUCCUAAGAAGUUUUCUCCCGAUUCAUUUCUAGAUUGUAGAGAAAGUGGUAUUCUUCACUUUGUCAAGUAUCACAGACUCGGAAAUGAUUUUCAUAUUGGUAAGUUUUGCAUAUCCUGUAAAUUUGUGUGUAUAUUUAUUUACAUUUAUCUUCGUUUACUUGUGUGUAUAAAUUCAGUUCGACUAUAUAUGGGAAACUCCAAUUACUUGACAAUAUGGAAUUUUGGUGCAGUCUGAGUUGGGG
rnacentral:lncRNA from 1 species